UCUCAGUAGGAGUUUUAUAAUUGAUUCCAGAGAACAAAUCAAGAAAUUCAUAGCAAAACUCUGAAAUAUUAAUAUUGUUUCCUUUCAAACAAUUCAGGAAGAAUGGCUGGAUUAAAAUAUGUCGGUUGCAGAAAGAGAAAAAAAACCCGUGAAACUAUUCUAUAGCCUGUUCCUUCUCCCUAAUGUUUGGAAAAUCCCACAAAGUCUGCCUCUUGGACUGGCUCCACUCAUCCCCUGCAGCUUUCCGUGGCUGACAUGCCACAUUCCUGGCAUUUCUAGUCUCCCUCUAGUCUUCACUGCACCUUUGGCUUCAUUCCCACAGCUUCAUGCAUUGCUCAUUUGAAAUCUGGGACAUGUGCGAAGGUGUUCAUCUGCCAGCCAGGAGCAGAGCCCUCACCAGAGACCAGGCUCUGCGGGACCUUGGUUUGCACUUUCCAACCCCGACAACUGGAAGAACGUAAGAACCUGUCACUGAAGCCAGCCCGUCCACGGCAUUUUCAUGUGGGAACCAAACAGGCCUGGAAGAUUUUGAGCAAAUGCAACCUACAGAAAUCCCAAGAAGUGUCAUCAGGGACAGAAGACCAUUCUUUGCCACUAGAUGAGAGCCACACAACUAAGUCACCUCUCCAGCUGAAAAGCCCGUGCCUGCUCCUUCCUCGGGCAAGCCCAGCUUUGGUGCAGGGUCCUCAAAGGCUGACACUUGUGGGAAGGAGCCAGGAAGGCCAUCGAGGUCCUGUGGACAGGCAGGCGCCAGGUUUGUGUGUUCCUGCCUGCGGGUCAGCAUAUCCUAUAAUGUUUUCAGGAAUCAUAUUUUGCUGCUCCUCCUGUCUUGUAGCAUUUCUAAUUAAAGUACCUGCUUGUCUGAACAGGUUUUCUGAGCCUUCGAAAGACACUUUUGUGUUUAUUUUCCUUCAUUUGUAUUUUUAGUGCCAUUUUUGAUCUUGCCUUCAGCGAAGUAGGAAUACAGGAUGCUUGGGCACAGGGC
rnacentral:lncRNA from 1 species